rnacentral:rRNA from 1 species
UCGCUUGAGUGCGGCAAAGGGGGAUGGAAUUCCGCGUGUAGCAAUGAAAUGCGUAAAUAUGCCGAGGAACACCGAUGGCGAAGGCAAUCCCCUGGGCCUGCACUGACGCUCAUGCACGAAAGCGUGGGGAGCAAACAGGAUUAGAUACCCUGGUAGUCCACGCCCUAAACGAUGUCAACUGGUUGUUGGGUUUUAAUUAACUCAGUAACGAAGCUAACGCGUGAAGUUGACCGCCUGGGGAGUACGGCCGCAA